rnacentral:ncRNA from 1 species
UCAGUACAAAGGCACACUUAUCGAAAGGUAAGCUCGCAAAGUCUCAGACCUAAAGCGUUCAUUGCGCUACGGUGGCUGGAUUGCCUGA